UACGGGGGGGGCAAGCGUUGUUCGGAAUUACUGGGCGUAAAGGGCGCGUAGGCGGCCUGCUAAGUCGGACGUGAAAUCCCUCGGCUCAACCGAGGAACUGCGUCCGAUACUGGCAGGCUGGAAUCCGGGAGAGGGAUGUGGAAUUCCAGGUGUAGCGGUGAAAUGCGUAGAUAUCUGGAGGAACACCGGUGGCGAAGGCGGCAUCCUGGACCGGUAUUGACGCUGAGGCGGCGAAAGCUAGGGGAGCAAACGGGG
rnacentral:rRNA from 1 species